ensembl:lncRNA
UUUAAGCCACCCGUUGUAUAAUAUUUUUUUUUUUCUCCCACAUUUUAAUUAUUAUGCACCGUCUAGGCCUACACAACUUUUGUAAAAGGACAAUGAACAAAUUAUAUGCCAGCAAAAAAUGAAUGACAAACCAUUAUUUUCCAAUAAUUUCAAAACAUUGUUUAGUUAAUGUCUUUACAAUAUGUCUAUUUGACGAGCAUCUGCACUAGGCAUACAAUGCAUCCGAAUGCAAAAUUGACAAGUGCAUCCAUGGUCAGGUGGAUGUUAAAAAUAUAAAUACAUAGAUACCUCAUUCACAGAAUUUAAUUUACAUGAUGGCAAUACAUUAUGUACAAUUGAUUACUAUCCAUUGAUUGGCAUUGUUUCAGUGUAGCACUUGUGAAAUACUGAGUGAGAACUGAGUGAGAAUCGAUUUCUAUAAUAAGACCUGCCCGUUCAGAAGGCAGCGGAAAGGCACAGAAUUGUAAGCAAACUAUCUGUACGUUUACACCUUGGUUUGGGAUGCGAGUAUGCACCAGCUACUGAGCUACACCAUAAGAACAGUUGAGCUGCCUGAAACCCAGCCUACGUUCUCUAUACUACUGACUUUGUUGCACCCACAUGCUCCCACUGAAAAAUGUUCAAACUGACUCAUAUGAAAUAUGUCUCUUUCUUUCAAAUCUAAAAUGUGUUCAAAUCAAUCAUUUUUUUAACAUGGCUACUCCCUCCGACGGCUAAACCUGAUUGCGAAAUCGGUCCCUCAUACCCCCCUGUCACUGAGUCCUGGGGGCGUCAGCUCUCAGGAACAUCCAUACGCUCAAUACUGUGCUGAGCGCCAUAACACCAGCAUGUGUCCCGUUGUGGUCCCUUCGUCGAAACUGCCGUCGCUUUGGCCGCAUGGCCCAAGCGAAGCGCGCCAGCCUUAGGCGGAUGACCCCCACUGCGGACACGUGUCUGCCAGGGGUUUGCCAGGGGCCGGGGUCUGCCAGGGGGCGGAGCCUGUCAGGGGGCGGAGUCUUGAGUCGCAGCGGAAGAGGGCAGAGUGUGUGAGCCAGGACGAAACACAGAGGGGGGUUGAGAGGAAUGGGGGUGGGCGGAGGAGAGGGGUGGGAGGUGUGUCUGGGUGUGGUGGCGCCUAGCCCAGCUCCGCGCUGGUGGUCCCACUGAUGGCACUGAACACGUGGAGGGAGUCCUGCAGCAGCGAGCGCAUGUCCUCUGGGUAGAUCUGGAGGGGGGUGGGGUAGAGGGGUGAGGAGGAACAAGGGGGAGGAUGGGUGAGGAGGGAGGAGGGAUGAGGAAGGUUGAGGUGGGAGGAGGGGUGAGGUGGAACAAGGGGG